rnacentral:misc_RNA from 1 species
AAUUCUCAACCUUACUUGCUUUUGCUUGUGAGGCUUGGACGUGAGGGCUUGCUGGCUUCCUUCAGUGGAUGGUCUGCUCCCUUUAAAUGCAUUAGUGGGAUCCUUUGUGGACGGUCACUUGGUGUGAUAAUUAUCUACGCCGCUUGGCUGUGAAGCAAGACUUGUGGGAACCUGCUCAUAACUGUCGAAAGACAACCAUUGACG